ACAACAACAAUAAUGAACAACAUCAUCAUCCUCAUCUGGACCAUUGGGGUUUUUAUCCAAGCCUCCAGAGGAGUCACGCUGACUCAACCUAAAGUUAAAACUGUCCAGCUCGGUCAAACAGCUACAAUAGAGUGUAACAUAGAUGUAGGGAUACUUAGCAACUACUUAGCCUGGUAUCAGCAGAAACCUGGAGAAGCUCCUAAACUCCUGAUUUAUUACAUAAACACCCUUCAGUCAGGAACUCCAUCUAGAUUCAGUGGCAGUGGAACAGCAAAUACUGGAAAAGAUUUCACUCUGACCAUCAGUGGAGUCCAGACUGAAGAUACAGGAGAUUAUUACUGUCAGAGUAUACACUGUCCUAGUAGCUGUGUGUUCACACAGUGAUAAAGAGUCGUACAAAAACCUCCGUCAGUCAGAGUCACAGUGACUGCACUGAUACAGCUGAGAGACACUGCAGCUGAUGAUGCGCAUCUCAAUAUUUUUUUUUCUCUGUAACUCUCUAUUGUAUUGAUGAACACCAUCUAUCUAUCUGCCCAACAUUACGAGUAAAUAUUAGAAUUAUGUAGGAGGAGCAAAACAAUUCAAUGCAGUACAAAUCACACAAAUCUAGAUUACUUACAAAUCUUCUACUUAAACAGUGUGCAAAAGUCUUAUUCAGUGCUGCUGCACUAACUGGCAUCACUGGUUCCUGAAGGGGUUAAUUCAUGAUCCCAUUUUAAUUGA